rnacentral:lncRNA from 1 species
GCUUGUUUAGGCUCAUGACUUACAGUGCUGUUGGCUAUGAGUUAAUGUCAAUAAAUUAACAAUAUAUAUUGAAUAGGUAUUUUAAAAUAGUAUUACUGGUUGGUAGAAGAAAAUGUGAUCAAUCUGUCAGGAAUCUAACUGUAUUUCCUUAGGGAUAAUGAUUCAGAAUUUGCUAAUUCAGCAUCCCCUGCAAUUUUAUCAAAUGUAAGUAUGGCAGAUAAUGUGAAUCGACUGCUUUCAGGGUAAAUGUGACUUUUGGGAAAUGGCCAAAGUCAUUUAUGGCCAGGACUGAGGAGUUUGAUGGGAAUGGUUAAAUUAAGCAAAACAGUAUGAUUAUUAAGUAGUCUUUCUCAGAGUUUUGUUUUCUACCAAGGAUUGAACACAGGGGUGUGUAACCACUCAGCUACAUCCCCAGCUCUGUUUAUUUAUUUGGAGACAGAGUGUCCCUAAGUUACUUAGAUCCUUGGUAAAUUGCUAAGGCUGGCCUUGAAUUUUCAGUCCACCUGCCUUACCCUCCCAAGUCUCUGGGAUUACAGACAUGUGCCACCAUACCCAGCUUUGUCAGUUUUUUUUGUAACGUAUGUACUGUCUUUUGAU